GUGGGGAAUUUUGGACAAUGGGCGCAAGCCUGAUCCAGCCAUGCCGCGUGAGUGAAGAAGGCCUUCGGGUUGUAAAGCUCUUUCAGGUGGAAAGAAAUCGCACUUUUUAAUACAAGGUGUGGAUGACGGUACCAUCAGAAGAAGCACCGGCUAACUACGUGCCAGCAGCCGCGGUAAUACGUAGGGUGCGAGCGUUAAUCGGAAUUACUGGGCGUAAAGCGUGCGCAGGCGGUUAUGUAAGACAGAUGUGAAAUCCCCGGGCUCAACCUGGGAACUGCGUUUGUGACUGCAUAACUAGAGUACGGCAGAGGGAGGUGGAAUUCCGCGUGUAGCAGUGAAAUGCGUAGAGAUGCGGAGGAACACCGAUGGCGAAGGCAGCCUCCUGGGCCAGUACUGACGCUCAUGCACGAAAGCGUGGGGAGCAAACAGGAUUAGAAACCCCGGUAGUCC
rnacentral:rRNA from 1 species